UGGCAAUGAUGACUAUCUUAGGACACCUUUGGAUAACAAAUGAAAAUAAACUGUAUCCUGAGCAAC